AGAAAUUUGAGAGGACCUGCCUCUAGUACGAGAGGACCGGGGUGGACGAACCUCUGGUGUACCUGUUGUGGCGCCAGCUGCAUCGCAGGGUAGCUAAGUUCGGAUGAGAUAAGCGCUGAAAGCAUCUAAGCACGAAACUCGCCUCAAGAUGAGAUUUCUUUUAAGGGCCGUGGAAGACUACCACGUUGAUAGGUCACAGGUGUAAAGACAGUAAUGUCAAAGCCGAGUGAUACUAAUUACCCGUAGACUUAUAAAC
rnacentral:rRNA from 1 species